GACGAACGCUGGCGGCGUGCUUAACACAUGCAAGUCGAACGGAAAGGCCCUGCUUUUGUGGGGUGCUCGAGUGGCGAACGGGUGAGUAACACGUGAGUAACCUGCCCCUGUCUUAGGGAUAUCUUCAGGAAACUGGGGCUCAUACCCGAUAGGAGCUCUUGCUGCAUGGUGGGGGAUGGAAAGUUUCGGCGGUUGGGGAUGGACUCGCGGCUUAUCAGCUUGUUGGUGGGGUAGUGGCUUACCAAGGCUUUGACGGGUAGCCGGCCUGAGAGGGUGACCGGCCACAUUGGGACUGAGAUACGGCCCAGACUCCUACGGGAGGCAGCAGUGGGGAAUAUUGCACAAUGGGCGGAAGCCUGAUGCAGCAACGCCGCGUGCGGGAUGACGGCCUUCGGGUUGUAAACCGCUUUCGCCUGUGACGAGGCGUGAGUGACGGUAAUGGGUAAAGAAGCACCGGCUAACUACGUG
rnacentral:rRNA from 1 species